GGGUGCGAUCAUACCAGCACUAAUGUGCCGGAUCCCAUCAGAACUCUACAGUUUAGGCGUGCUUGGGAGAGAGUAGUACUAGGAUGGGAGACUUGGUGAGAAGUCCUCGUGUUGCACCCC
rfam:Gossypium arboreum cultivar AKA8401 contig_6250_3, whole genome shotgun sequence.